AGACCCGAAACCCGGUGAUCUAGCCAUGGGCAGGUUGAAGGUUGGGUAACACUAACUGGAGGACCGAACCGACUAAUGUUGAAAAAUUAGCGGAUGACCUGUGGCUGGGGGUGAAAGGCCAAUCAAACCGGGAGAUAGCUGGUUCUCCCCGAAAGCUAUUUAGGUAGCGCCUCGUGAAUUCAUCUCCGGGGGUAGAGCACUGUUUCGGCUAGGGGGCCAUCCCGGCUUACCAACCCGAUGCAAACUGCGAAUACCGGAGAAUGUUAUCACGGGAGACACACGGCGGGUGCUAACGUCCGUCGUGAAGAGGGAAACAACCCAGACCGCCAGCUAAGGUCCCAAAGUCAUGGUUAAGUGGGAAACGAUGUGGGAAGGCCCAGACAGCCAGGAUGUUGGCUUAGAAGCAGCCAUCAUUUAAAGAAAGCGUAAUAGCUCACUGGUCGAGUCGGCCUGCGCGGAAGAUGUAACGGGGCUAAACCAUGCACCGAAGCUGCGGCAGCGACACUGUGUGUUGUUGGGUAGGGGAGCGUUCUGUAAGCCUGCGAAGGUGGCCUGUGAGGGUUGCUGGAGGUAUCAGAAGUGCGAAUGCUGACAUAAGUAACGAUAAAGCGGGUGAAAAGCCCGCUCGCCGGAAGACCAAGGGUUCCUGUCCAACGUUAAUCGGGGCAGGGUGAGUCGACCCCUAAGGCGAGGCCGAAAGGCGUAGUCGAUGGGAAACGGGUUAAUAUUCCCGUACUUGGUGUUACUGCGAAGGGGGGACGGAGAAGGCUAUGUUGGCCGGGCGACGGUUGUCCCGGUUUAAGCGUGUAGGUGUGUGUUCCAGGUAAAUCCGGUUCACUUUAACACUGAGGCGUGACGACGAGGCACUACGGUGCUGAAGCAACAAAUGCCCUGCUUCCAGGAAAAGCCUCUAAGCAUCAGGUAACAUCAAAUCGUACCCCAAACCGACACAGGUGGUCAGGUAGAGAAUACCAAGGCGCUUGAGAGAACUCGGGUGAAGGAACUAGGCAAAAUGGUGCCGUAACUUCGGGAGAAGGCACGCUGACACGUAGGUGAAGUGAUUUACUCAUGGAGCUGAAGUCAGUCGAAGAUACCAGCUGGCUGCAACUGUUUAUUAAAAACACAGCACUGUGCAAACACGAAAGUGGACGUAUACGGUGUGACGCCUGCCCGGUGCCGGAAGGUUAAUUGAUGGGGUCAGCGCAAGCGAAGCUCCUGAUCGAAGCCCCGGUAAACGGCGGCCGUAACUAUAACGGUCCUAAGGUAGCGAAAUUCCUUGUCGGGUAAGUUCCGACCUGCACGAAUGGCGUAAUGAUGGCCAGGCUGUCUCCACCCGAGACUCAGUGAAAUUGAACUCGCUGUGAAGAUGCAGUGUACCCGCGGCAAGACGGAAAGACCCCGUGAACCUUUACUAUAGCUUGACACUGAACAUUGAGCCUUGAUGUGUAGGAUAGGUGGGAGGCUUUGAAGUGUGGACGCCAGUCUGCAUGGAGCCGACCUUGAAAUACCACCCUUUAAUGUUUGAUGUUCUAACGUGGACCCGUUACCCGGGUUGCGGACAGUGUCUGGUGGGUAGUUUGACUGGGGCGGUCUCCUCCUAAAGAGUAACGGAGGAGCACGAAGGUUGGCUAAUCCUGGUCGGACAUCAGGAGGUUAGUGCAAUGGCAUAAGCCAGCUUGACUGCGAGCGUGACGGCGCGAGCAGGUGCGAAAGCAGGUCAUAGUGAUCCGGUGGUUCUGAAUGGAAGGGCCAUCGCUCAACGGAUAAAAGGUACUCCGGGGAUAACAGGCUGAUACCGCCCAAGAGUUCAUAUCGACGGCGGUGUUUGGCACCUCGAUGUCGGCUCAUCACAUCCUGGGGCUGAAGUAGGUCCCAAGGGUAUGGCUGUUCGCCAUUUAAAGUGGUACGCGAGCUGGGUUUAGAACGUCGUGAGACAGUUCGGUCCCUAUCUGCCGUGGGCGCUGGAGAACUGAGGGGGGCUGCUCCUAGUACGAGAGGACCGGAGUGGACGCAUCACUGGUGUUCGGGUUGUCAUGCCAAUGGCACUGCCCGGUAGCUAAAUGCGGAAGAGAUAAGUGCUGAAAGCAUCUAAGCACGAAACUUGCCCCGAGAUGAGUUCUCCCUGAGACUUAAAGUCUCCUGAAGGAACGUUGAAGAC
rnacentral:rRNA from 1 species